UACGGGGGGAGCAAGCGUUGUUCGGAUUUACUGGGCGUAAAGGGCGCGUAGGCGGUCAGCACAAGUCAGUUGUGAAAUCUCCGGGCUUAACUCGGAAAGGUCAACUGAUACUGUGCGACUAGAGUGCGGAAGGGGAAACUGGAAUUCUCGGUGUAGCGGUGAAAUGCGUAGAUAUCGAGAGGAACACCUGCGGCGAAGGCGGCCUUCUGGACGAUGACUGACGCUGAGGCGCGAAAGCGUGGGGAGCAAACAGG
rnacentral:rRNA from 1 species